rnacentral:rRNA from 1 species
AUUGAACGCUAGCGGGAUGCCUUACACAUGCAAGUCGAACGGAGUGGCGAACGGGAGAGUAAUGUAUCGGAACGUGCCCAGUAGCGGGGGAUAACUACGCGAAAGCGUAGCUAAUACCGCAUACUAUUGGCGCGGCCGCUAUCGGAUUAGCUAGUUGUGGGGGUAAAGGCUCACAAAGGCGACGAUCCGUAGCAGGUUUGAGAGGACGACCAGCCACACUGGGACGGAGACACGGCCCAGACUCCUACUGGAGGCAGCAGUGGGGAAUCUUGCACAAUGGGGGAAACCCUGCUCCAGCCAUCCCGCGUGUGUGAUGAAGGCCUUCGGGUUGUAAAGCACUGUUUGCAGGAAAGCGGUACCUGCAGAAUAAGCAACGGCUAACUACGUGCCAGCCGCCGCGGUAAUUC